rnacentral:misc_RNA from 1 species
AUUAAAUUGAUCUUAUUCGUAGACCGCAUUUUAAUUUCAUUUACAUACAGUAAAAAUGGUAAUAACUAGCUAUUUCACAUUACCUAUUUAUAUUGUUGCGGGGGCGUUAACAAUGGAAAAUUCCCGUUUUUAAGAUAUCGACUCCAAAUUUGGUACGAAUCUCCUAUAUGUGAUGUAGAAAUGAUCGAUGAGCGGAUUUUAGGAUAACUCAUGCCCAAUAAGGAUUACGGGGGUGGGCGUUAACAAUGAAAAUUUUAAAUGUAUGUAACUCCGAAACUACUAAACCAAUUUUUAUCAAAUUUUUUAAGCAUCUGUAAUUUGGUCCAACUUGGGAGAUAGGGUAGUUUUUAUCUCAAUUGGACUCGGUAGGUGGCGCUGCUAUAUGUAUGUAGCUCUGAAACUAAUGAAUCAAUUUUUAUCAAAUUUUGUAAGCAUCUGUAAUUUUGUCUGACUUGGAAGAUAUGGUAGUUUUUAUCUCAAUUGGACUCGGUAGGUGGCGCUGCUAUCUGUAUGUAGCUCUGAAACUACUGAAUCAAUUGUUAUCAAAUUUUGUAAGCAUCUGUAAUUUUGUCUAACUUGGAAGAUAUGUUAGUUUUCAUCUCAAUUGGAC